UAUACAGUAUUUUUCUUUCUUUGUCUGACUUAUUUCACUUAGCAUAAUGUCCUCAAGUUUCACCCAUGUUGUUGGAAAUGGCAGGAUUUCGUUCUUCCCCAUGACAGAAUAAUACUCACUCCUAUGUAUGUGUGUGGGUGUAUGUGUGUGUAUACAUGUAUAUAUAGCUUGAGGUUGUUUUAUAAUAAGGCACGUGGUAAAGCAUGUAAAUAAAAAUCUUCAGUGCUUUUUUGAUACAUCUUAAGCAUGCAAUCACUGUACUAUUCUAAUUAGUAUAUCAAGUGAUCUUUCCCAGUAAUUGUGUUUUCUUGCCCUGGAUUCUGAUACUCAUUUAUGGUUCUGCCUUCUUGUCCAGAUGCAGCAAUUUUGUUCCUGUCUCCUUGUUGGCCACCUUUCUAGCCUUCCUGACUUGCUCUUAAUCCUGCCUGAUAUUAAAGUGCUUACUGGCCCUGAUCUUGCUGCUGUUUCAUGGUCUGGCCUCUUGGCACCUGCUAUUCCAUCAGCCACAAUGCCCUCUGCCCGCUGUGUGCCCUGACCCUGGCUCAUACUCCCCUUCUCUCAGGAAGGACUCAUUCACCCUCUUUGGUGGAGCCCCUCAGUUUGCCCUCUGCCUUUUGGCAUAUUAUGCUUCUUGUGCAGCCCACUGUCUAGUAGACAUGCUUUAGUCUACCAUCUUUCACUGUCUGAAAAGAAGCAACCGAAUAGAACAGAAUGCUAUUGUUUAUCCCGGGGUCCAUAGAUUCUGCCCCUGACUCCGCUAGAGGCAGGGUGACGCCCAUCUCCUGGGAUCUGAAGCAGUUCCUGGGGGAAGGAGGGUGUGUGGAGCAGUGGGAUGUAGGAGGGCCAGGGAAUAGGGGACCUUGAGGUUCCUGUCCACAUUCUGCCCAUCACUUGCUAUGAGUUUUAGGGCUACCACUUUUCCUUUUUAUGAGAAUGGCCCCUCUGUCUUUCAUCUUCUCUUUCAUGGACAGUUCAGUUCAGUUCAGUUCAGUUGCUCAGUCAUGUCCAACUCUUUG
rnacentral:lncRNA from 1 species